rnacentral:rRNA from 1 species
GAAUCAACGCUGGCGGCGUGCCUCAGACAUGCAAGUCGAACGCGAAAGUUCCCUUCGGGGAGCAAGUAGAGUGGCGCACGGGUGAGUAACACGUAGGUAAUUUGCCUUCGGGUGGGGAAUAACAGUCGGAAACGACUGCUAAUACCGCAUAAUGCAGCGGCUCGACAUCGAGACAGUUGUUAAAGCGGGGGAUCCUUCGGGACCUCGCGCCUGAAGAGAAGCCUGCGGCAGAUUAGCUAGUUGGUGAGGUAAUGGCCCACCAAGGCUACGAUCUGUAACCGGCCUGAGAGGGCGGUCGGUCACACUGACACUGACAUACGGGUCAGACUCC